UUCCUGGUACUCUUUUCCAAGCAUGCAUUGGGAGAAGGGCAGUUUUGUCUCUGUUUUAGGAGUUUGAGAGUUGAAGUAUUCUACACUGAAUAUGGAUAAGAGCCAUGCUGAAUAUUACAAAGGUUUAAGAACAUUUUCUGAAGGUAAAGAGGAAGCCAGAACAUAUGUUCUCUAUCUUCAAGUUACUAUAAUAUGACAUGUUGCUUUUUCUUUCUUUCAUCUAUACUGGACGUUCUGAGCAAUUAUUUCUUUUGUGUCACAGUUAUUACCACAGGCUUAGUGGCAGCUUGACAAAGGAGAGCCUGAGCAUUAAUUUAGAGUUACUAAAAUAACAUGCCGUUUAGAAUUAUCUGCCUUAAAGUACAACUGGUCCUGCCUCUGACCCUCCUCUGCUGUUAUCUGUACUUUCUCCUGCUGAGUCAGAUCUUCUCUGGACAAACUGGACUGAAGGAUAUUUUUUAGUUGACUUCAAAAGGAUGCAUGUCAUCAUUCUCUGGAAUUACUUAUGCCCAAGGACAAAGAUGAAGUUGAAGAUCUCUUUCCCAGGAGCAGAAGACCUCAGAUUGGGGGGAGACCAGAGCCAGUAACCGGAUCUCAUAUCAACAGAGAGACGAGCAACAUGGCUAGGGACAGUCAGGAAAACAGCUGACAAGAAAGAGAUUCCUCCAAAAGAAUAUUUUGAGACCCUGGGGCUAAUUGUGCUGUCCAGUAAAUGACUCAAUAUUUCACUGCAAUACUCUACUGCUAGACCUAUUGUAUCAACUAUUCCCAAAUAUUUCUUAGAUGCUUUUGUGAUUAAAAUAUUACCUGACUUUAGAAUGAGCUUUCUCUUUCUUUCUCUUUCAAUCACUGACAUGCUUUUCAUUUGAAAUAUAAGUCCUUAAUUGACCGUAAUUGAUCAGGAAAGGUCAAUAAAAAAAUAUGUGCACAUAA